UUAAUAAUCCCUCCGUCCGGAAAUACUUGUCCUAGAAAUGGAUGUAUCUAGACUUAUUUUAGUUAUAGAUACAUCCAAUUUAUCCAUUUUGAGACAAAUAUUUCUGGACGGAGGGAGUACCUA
rfam:Triticum aestivum genome assembly, contig: Triticum_aestivum_CS42_TGACv1_scaffold_343546_4DL